rnacentral:rRNA from 1 species
GACGUAGGUGGCGAACGUUAUCCGGAAUCAUUGGGCGUAAAGGGUGCGUAGAUGGUAUAGUAAGUUAUUGGUGGAAAAUCGAGGCUCAACCUCGUGGAAGCUGGUAAUACUGUUAUGCUAGAGUGCAGGAGAGGUUAACGGAACUCCAUGUGGAGCGGUAAAAUGUGUAGAUAUCGGGAGGAACACCUGUGGCGAAAGCGGCUCACUGGACCACAACUGACGCUGAGGCGCGAAAGCUAGGGGAGCAAACAGG